ensembl:lncRNA
GUGAUAUAGUAUUUCAAACGGCUUCAGGCCUUCUGUUCUGCCCGUGAGUGUUCUAGCAGACGGACUCCCUUUUCUCGCCAAGAUUAACAUUUCAUAUGAUCGUUCUUGACAGAGGAUUUUCUUACAGAGGCCCCUUAAAGGAUAACCAAAAAAGGGCAUUUUUGGGGUGAAAAGUCUCAGUCACGACGAGGACUCCUACUAAGAAGUCCGGGUUCAGGAAUGCGUUAACCUUCUAUCCCUAAUUGAAUUCAUAACUUAUUUUUUAAAUAGACUCGAGUUUGAGAGAACGAGAGCUUUAUCGCUGUAUGAGUUUUGGAGGCAGGGAAACUAUAGGGAGAGGAGAGCGGCUACCAGAAGGAAACCUAGAUGUGUGCGAUUAUGUUUUAAAGGGAGGGGCUUGGGACUUUUUUCAUCAUUGCAUUACAGUGAGGAACCAGCAGAAUUACACACUCCCCUCACUGGCCUCUGUGGUUGUCUGAGACAUCGACUGAAGAGUACAACUUAACUUUUCUCCCCGUAUCAAGAUCCGCAGGGUGUAAAGCAUGGAGGACAUGGACUUCGAGAGGCGCCGGGAGCUCAGACGGCAGAAGCGUGAGGAGAUGCGCCUGGAAGCUGAACGAUAGGGCCUGUCUGUCUGUCUGUCUGUCUGUCUGUCUGUCUGUCUGUCUGUCUGUCUGUCUGUCUGUCUGUCUGUCUGUCUCUGUCUGUCUGUCUGUCUCUGUCUCUCUGUCUCUCUCUCUCUCUCUCUCUCUCUCUCUCUCUCUCUCUCUCUCUCUCUCUCUCUCUCUCUCUCUCUGCCUGUCUGCCUCCCUUUGUCUGUCUGCCUCCCUUUGUCUGUCUGUCUGUCUGCCUCUCUUUGUCUCUCUGUCUGUCUGUCUGUCUGCAUAAGUUUGUCCAUUUUUAAAUUUUCAUUCAUUUUCUUGACUGACUCUCUGCCUGUCUAUAGACAAACAACAGCUAAUACACUUCAAUAAUACAUACAUCUUCC